AAAGAUUUAUGCAAGUUAUGCGCUAAACAUGUACAAUGGAAGGGGGUAGUUUUGGAGGAAAAAAAUCUUGGUCUGGAACUCAUUUGUUCAAACUUGCGAAAGUCAAGAAAAUGGGCAUCUGACACGUAUGUAGAGCACUACCCACGGAGGCUCUCUGCAAGUUGCAGGUCUGUGCACCACAAAGUCCUCAAAAUUUCACAAUCCCCAUUUCAAGCCCGCUCUGGUUCCUGGACCCAAAGCGCACGGCCCAAAACUGCCAAGACUUGUUUGGCAUUUGUGAAAAAAUAAAGGGGAAUCCCCGUCAUUUCGCCUAUCCCCUGCCUUUCCUUCAACUUCGUUCACCCUUUAAAAGACCAGAAAAGCGGGAGAUGAUGAUGUAGUCUCAGACAGAGAGAGAUGGAGAUUGGAGAGUGAUACUUCGCCGGAGAGAGCUUUUCCUCUUUCGUAGAUUGAGUGUAAGUUAACGGUAAAGUGUGUGAGAAGACUUGAAAAGAUGACGGGGAUGGUGCGAGAACAGAAUCUGGAGAAGCAGAUAGAGAAGCAAAUGGGGUGCAUGGC
rnacentral:misc_RNA from 1 species